UUUUGGGCUCCGUUUUGAUCGGGUGGGUCAGCUCGCACCAGGAGUCUGGUGAGUGGAGUUGUGAGUCUGACCCGGGGAUCCGAAUGCAAGCUGAGUUCAGGCCCGGACUUGUCACCCUCGAUGGUCGCGCCGACGAUUGGAAGGACAUUGAUGGCUUCGAAUUCUCUCUCCUUCCUGCUCUGGACCCGGAUGAGGAUAAAGAGUAUAAAGGUGGAAAAAUGACCGUUAAGGCCUUGCACGAUGGUAAAGAUGUGUUCUUCUUGUUGCAAGUCGAUGGGGACUAUGCCUACUCGAAAGGCAACAACAUUAAAUGCCCAUCUGUGGCCCUCAUGUUUCCAAUUGGUGACCAUGCUACCUAUCACAAUAUGGGUGGCUGUAAGGAAGGAACUAAUGCUUGCACCAACAAAACUUGCAAAGGCCAUGAAGUUGACAUUAUGCACUUUUCAAUUGGAAAUGCUAUUCCUGGACGGCUUUAUGGUGGGAAUCCGAUAGACAACAGAGAUGGAAAUGGUGGUGACAGGUUUGGCCAUUUGGUCGAUCUAUAUGCAUGGAAUCCACAUUGUAGAUAUAUUGAUGGAACUGGUCCUUCAGGAAAUUAUUCUAGUGCACAGAAUAAUUGGAAGGGGGCAUGGUGGCACAGUACCUUUACUGAUCACUCAGGUAACUCUUUCUCUUACAACCACCCCGCCCCUUCCUUUUCUGUCUUUCUCUAUGUCUGUCCAUCAUUUACUGGUUACUUGAAAGGAUAGUCUGUAUUAUUUAUAUGCGACCAAACUGUAAAAAAUUUUUGUUGUACAGUUGUGAAAAGGACUGACAUACAUGAGAGAGUCAAUCCAAAUGGUUCAUAUGCUUGAUUUGUGCAUACAAUCCACAGAAAUUCACUUGUGUGCUAUGUAUUCAUUUGCUUUUGAUUAAAUGCAUUUUACAAUAUCCAAUCACAAGGUUCAUUUUGUGUGAUUAAUGAUACUCAAGGAUGCUGUGUCCCCAAAGUGCAGUGAGUUGGAAAAGGAUGCUAGAAAGCACAAACACAUAUGGAUUUACUUUGUUAUGAAAUUUUAACCAAACAACAUUGACUUUGAGACAUGGAAGUUUCACUUUGGUUUCUGUGUCCCCAUUUGUGUUCUAUCUGUUUUUAGAUUUCUUGCUUGUGCUUUCAAGUGGACAAUGGUAUACCCUUUAUUUUCAUUCAUUUUCUUUUUGGAUCAAAUGUAAUUCUUUGUUCUCUAUGAUUUGAUAUUUAAUAUUUCACUAACAGCUUUUGUAGAGGAAGAUAGUCCCUAUGGUUCAGAUGGUCAAAAAGGCACUUAUUUUUUUGAAUUCUCUAGGCCUUUGAGAACCAUGGAUCGUUUCCAGCAGGUCAGUAACUCAUCUGCCAGAUUAGCCUAUCAUUUGAAAUUUUUGGAAUUUCAAAUUGUGCAUUUAGAAUUGGUUGCACCAACUAUUGCUCUCAUUUGGUUGCCUGCUGAGGAAAGUAGAUUAUAGCCUUGAAGUAUUAACAGCAAGUCUACUAGCAUGGCCACACUGUUGAUUCAUGGUUAUUAUCGCAUGAUAUUGUAUUUGGGAGAUGCUCAGACGAUCUCGACAAUUUGGAUUCUAAACUUUUGCUGGAAUCACUAUUGAGCUGUCUUGCUUCUUGUUGCCUACUAGUCAUUUACUGUACAUAUACUUUGACUGGAAUGCAUAUAUUGUCAGAACUUAUGUUGUGUGAUGGUACCAUUGUAGUGAUGGUACCAUUGUAUCGUUUAGACAACUUUGUAGUUAAAAGUAUUACCUUCCAGCAGCAGAGCUUGAAUGAGUUGUUUUCUCUAAAUUUCUGCAGGAUGCUCAGUUUACCAUUAGUGGAUCAAGCAAGAUGUCUGUUGCAUUCUGGUAUCCUGUUGAUGGGAAUCCAUGGCAUGGAUCUGGUCACUAUUCUGUCAACUGUGAUUGGAUACCCUUAGAUAUCUCUCCUGGCAGUUCAACAUUAACAACGUCAUCACCAGGCAGUUCGGUAGCUGUUGCAAGUGCCUUCGCCCUUUUAUUUUCAGUAGUGUCUGUAUGCCUCUCUGUUUUUGUGGGAUAUAGAGUUAUUAGACCUAGUGGUUUUACACCCAUGGGAACAACCAUGGAAAAUCUUUAGGAUAGCAGCUUGGGUCGGAGAUUGUACUGCUAGUUGAGGGUUGUCUUACUUAGUUUUGUAUUUUGAUCACUACCACAUAAUAAAAAUUUUAUAUUGCAAUUUCAUUGUUUGUUUAUUAUCACUUUUGUAAUGAUUUUUAUCACUUUGUCAUUCUUAGUUGAUGCUGCAUGUACUUGCUUAGAGGGCAUUUGUGACAUAACAAAUCUUUUUGUGUAUGAAGAAUCAGUGGAUGAGUAAAUGAGUAAUGCCAAGAGAUUGUUCCAAAA
rnacentral:misc_RNA from 1 species